GUGGGGAAUCUUCCGCAAUGGACGAAAGUCUGACGGAGCAACGCCGCGUGAGUGAAGAAGGUUUUCGGAUCGUAAAGCUCUUUCGUUAGGGACGAACGUGCUCUUUGUGAAUAAUGAGGAGUAAUGACGGUACCUAAAUAAGAAGCCACGGCUAACUACGUGCCAGCAGCCGCGGUAAUACGUAGGUGGCAAGCGUUGUCCGGAAUUAUUGGUCGUAAAGCGCGCGCAGGCGGGAUAUCAAGUCUGUCUUAAAAGUGCGAGGCUCAACCUCGUGAGGGGACAGAAACUGGUAUUCUUGAGUGUCGGAGAGGAAAGUGGAAUUCCAAGUGUAGCGGUGAAAUGCGUAGAGAUUUGGAAGAACACCAGUGGCGAAGGCGACUUUCUGGACGAUGUCUGACGCUGAGGCGCGAAAGCUAGGGGAGCGAACGGGAUUAGAUACCCUUGUAGUCC
rnacentral:rRNA from 1 species